GUGCAGAGCCGCGGUAAUACCGGCAGCCCGAGUGAUGGCCGAUCUUAUUGGGCCUAAAGCGUCCGUAGCUGGCCGAACAAGUCCGUCGGGAAAUCCACGUGCUUAACACGUGGGCGACCGGCGCAAACUGUUCGGCUUGGGGCCGGAGGACCCGAGGGGUACGUCCGGGGUAGGAGUGAAAUCCUGUAAUCCUGGACGGACCGCCGGUGGCGAAAGCGCCUCGGGAAGACGGACCCGACAGUGAGGGACGAAAGCUGGGAUCUCGAACCGGAUUAGAUACCCCUGUAGUCC
rnacentral:rRNA from 1 species